UUAAGCAUAUCAAUAAGCGGAGGAAAAGAAACCAACAGGGAUUGCCCUAGUAACGGCGAGUGAAGCGGCAACAGCUCAAAUUUGAAAUCUGGCUCUCGGGCCCGAGUUGUAAUUUGUAGAGGAUACUUUUGAUGCGGUGCCUUCCGAGUUCCCUGGAACGGGACGCCAUAGAGGGUGAGAGCCCCGUCUGGUUGGAUGCCAAAUCUCUGUAAAGUUCCUUCGACGAGUCGAGUAGUUUGGGAAUGCUGCUCUAAAUGGGAGGUAUAUGUCUUCUAAAGCUAAAUACCGGCCAGAGACCGAUAGCGCACAAGUAGAGUGAUCGAAAGAUGAAAAGCACUUUGAAAAGAGAGUUAAAAAGUACGUGAAAUUGUUGAAAGGGAAGCGUUUAUGACCAGACUUGGGCUUGGUUAAUCAUCUGGGGUUCUCCCCAGUGCACUUUUCCAGUCCAGGCCAGCAUCAGUUUUCCCCGGGGGAUAAAGACUUCGGGAAUGUGGCUCUCUUCGGGGAGUGUUAUAGCCCGUUGUGUAAUACCCUGGGGGGGACUGAGGUUCGCGCAUCUGCAAGGAUGCUGGCGUAAUGGUCAUCAACGACC
rnacentral:rRNA from 1 species